AUCCAGCUGACGAGUCCCAAAUAGGACGAAACGCUUGUGAUACUGGAU
rnacentral:hammerhead_ribozyme from 1 species